AGCCUUUAUCUCCACUCUGCGGAGAUUCACGCCUGGAAAACGCUCUUCUGAGAGGAUCUGUGGAGGUCAACCCAGGAGAGAGAAGACAGGACUGAAGCACUGAAAGGGUCCUGCCGUUAAGGGCGCAGGAUUGUAUAGAAUAUAUAAUAGCAGUAGCAGCUCUGUUUACGGAGCAUUAACCUUACGUGGAGUUAUUUCCUGCAUUUCCUCCUUUCGUCUUUACAAGGUAGCCGUUUGGCGUCGUGAGGUAUGGAUGUUCCCAUCCCUAAUUUGCAAAAUAGGUAACUGAGGCUCAGGAGAGCUAGACUAGUUUGUGCACAGCCGAGAAGUGGUCAAGCUAGAAUGGGACCCCAGGUUUGUGCUCCCUACUCUCCACCGAUAACCUAUCAAAGGGCUUUGCAAGAGCUUUUGACUAAUCGUCUGUCAAUGGUUCUUCAUUCACGUAUUAAUUGCACAUCAGUAUGUGCCAAAUCUACUAGACAUUGGAGAAACAGUAGGAACAACACAUGGUACCGGCACAUGGAUCUUUCAGGAAAACGAAGUAGGUAAUAAACAGGAAAAAGCCCGAGUCUGAUGCUAAGAAGAACAUAAACAGGAUGCUGAGAGAUUGGGUCUCUCCACAUUGCCCCGGCUGCUCUCCAACCCCUGAGUUCAAGUGAUUCACCUCCCUUGGCCUCCCAAAGUACUGGGAUUACAGGCGUGAGCCACCGUGCCUGGCUGAGAAGAUGGAUUUAAGACAUAUUUUGGAGUAAAAUUUAAGUGUGGCUCUGUGCCUAUGCUCUCCCCAGCGGAAAGUGACCAGAAGAGGUGUGCAGUUUCCAGGCCUGGCCCAUACAGACCUCCAACAGGUGCUCCCCUGUGCUGUUACUCCUUCUGCCAACU
rnacentral:lncRNA from 10 species